CACGUAGGCGGAUUAGUCGGUCAGAGGUGAAAUCCCAGGGCUCAACCCUGGAACUGCCUUUGAUACUGCUAGUCUCGAGUUCGAGAGAGGUGAGUGGAAUUCCGAGUGUAGAGGUGAAAUUCGUAGAUAUUCGGAGGAACACCAGUGGCGAAGGCGGCUCACUGGCUCGAUACUGACGCUGAGGUGCGAAAGCGUGGGGAGCAAACA
rnacentral:rRNA from 1 species